UGCAAAACUAACUGUGUGACGUCAUCAAGUGCAAUGAAAAGUUCAGUUCGUGCGCUGUUUGUGACUCUCUAAAUUUGAACGAUAAACUGGAGGCCGUGAAUUGAGUGAGUUGGCCUUCGCACAUCACUUAGAGGCAGAAGAAUUCCGGCUCCUCUUCAUGUUGGUCUUGUUGAGCUGUCUACAUACACAAGGAAGAAGUAGCUGCCGUUUACUGUAACGCCAAGAUGGAUGUGAAAGAUCAGGUAUGUGAGGCUGACAUAAAGACCAUGGAGAUACCAGCUGUAAAUAUUAAGGAAGAGAGCUGUGAAUGGCAGCCUGUCCACAUCAAACCGGAGAGUCUCUGCAUUAAGGGCGAGGAUCAUGAACUGGUAACGGUGGGUAUUAAAGAAGAAGAUGAGGAGAUGUCUGUCAGCAUUGAGACACACAGACAAAAAUGUAUGCCGUUUGUUCACCUCAAGGUGAGGUAUGACAUAAAGAAGACUGAGGAAAUGCCAUCUGUUAGAAUUCUGGAAAAUCCGCCAUCACCUAUACUGCAGUC